AACGCACAUUGCGCCUUCCGGUAUUCCGGGAGGCAUGCCUGUCUGAGCGUCAGUAAAUACUCAUAUUGAGUCCGUAUACGUAUGUCUAUGGUCUCUUUGUGGUUGUGAGUUGUGAGAGCGUCAUGCUCUCUAACUUGAAAAUGAUUGGUGUUGUCACCUGGUACUUGUAGUGUGAUAGGUUAUUCCAACUCGCUAGAAGCCAGGUAUCGCGAUGCCUUACGGUAAAAACUGUACUCUUGACCUCAGAUCAGGUAGGGAUACCCGCUGAACUUAA
rnacentral:misc_RNA from 1 species